UUUCAUCAGGUGAUACCCUAAUACUUACUCAGAAGAUAAUUUAGAGAUAUGGCUUGUUUAGAUUAUUGUUUAGAGAGGAGGAUGGCAGAUGGUGAGG
ensembl:miRNA MIR9832 microRNA mir-9832